rnacentral:lncRNA from 1 species
CCUGAGAACUGUAGUGUCGACGACUGAUGUUAUACUCUGGUUUCUCUUCAAAUCGUAUAAAUCUUUCGCCUUUUACUAAAGAUUUCCGUGGAGAGAAACGAGUGUGAGUCUGAAACCAAUUUUUUGAGGCCUUGCGUUUCUUAGCAGGGCUUAUUUUAAGUGUUUUAAAAACAGAUGCGAUUCCGUUAAAUCGCGUGUGGAGCUAUGUAAAGUGUAUUAUAGAACAAAUGCGAGUUACGGUUUUUCAGCUUUUCGCUUUGUUAAGAGAUGGGGUUUCACCAUGUUGGCCAGGCUGGUCUCGAACUCCUGACGCUUACCAUUAACCAUCACAAGCUGUUAGCAGAGGUAAUGAUUAACACACCAUUGGCUGGGGGUACAUCCUGCAAGGGUGCCACCACCCAACUCCAUGAGUGACCUUUGACCUUUAGCAAGUCACUGUUUUUCACCGGGUCUCAAUUUGCACUUUGUAAAACAUGGUGAUAAAACCGUUCUUUGGUUUUCAGGGAAGCUGUAGAUUGGCUAAAAUUAUGACAGUAAUAAGGAGAGAA